GUAUCCCUGUGCUGUGCGUGAUGUGAGGUGUGGUUGCGAGCCUAGUAACGUGAACGGGAGCCUUCACGUGCCGGCGGUGUGCAAGCCCCUCUCCGAAGGGGAAGCCUGAAGCCGCGCCGAGGGUGCCCACCUGGCUCAGCCAGGUUCGAACCUGCCGAGCACACGGCAGAGGCGGGGAUCUC
rnacentral:other from 1 species